UCUCUGGUGGUCAAGUGGUUAAGAAUCUGCCUGCCAGUGCAGGGGACGUAGGUUCGAUCCCUGCUCUGGGAA
rnacentral:tRNA from 1 species